AUUGAACGCUGGCGGUAGGCCUAACACAUGCAAGUCGAACGGCAGCACAGUAAGAGCUUGCUCUUACGGGUGGCGAGUGGCGGACGGGUGAGGAAUACAUCGGAAUCUACUUUUUCGUGGGGGCUAACGUAGGGAAACUUACGCCAAUACCGCAUACGACCUACGGGUGAAAGCAGGGGAUCUUCGGACCUUGCGCGAUUCAAUGAGCCGAUGUCGGAUUAGCUAGUUGGCGGGGUAAAGGCCCACCAAGGCGACGAUCCGUAGCUGGUCUGAGAGGAUGAUCAGCCACACUGGAACUGAGACACGGUCCAGACUCCUACGGGAGGCAGCAGUGGGGAAUAUUGGACAAUGGGCGCAAGCCUGAUCCAGCCAUACCGCGUGGGUGAAGAAGGCCUUCGGGUUGUAAAGCCCUUUUGUUGGGAAAGAAAAGCAGCAGGUUAAUACCUCGCUGUUCUGACGGUACCAACAGAAUAAGCACCGGCUAACUUCGUG
rnacentral:rRNA from 1 species